rnacentral:rRNA from 1 species
UGCUAUACUGCAGUCGAACGCUUCUUUCCUCCCGAGUGCUUGCACUCAAUUGGAAAGAGGAGUGGCGGACGGGUGAGUAACACGUGGGUAACCUACCCAUCAGAGGGGGAUAACACUUGGAAACAGGUGCUAAUACCGCAUAACAGUUUAUGCCGCAUGGCAUAAGAGUGAAAGGCGCUUUCGGGUGUCGCUGAUGGAUGGACCCGCGGUGCAUUAGCUAGUUGGUGAGGUAACGGCUCACCAAGGCCACGAUGCAUAGCCGACCUGAGAGGGUGAUCGGCCACACUGGGACUGAGACACGGCCCAGACUCCUACGGGAGGCAGCAGUAGGGAAUCUUCGGCAAUGGACGAAAGUCUGACCGAGCAACGCCGCGUGAGUGAAGAAGGUUUUCGGAUCGUAAAACUCUGUUGUUAGAGAAGAACAAGGACGUUAGUAACUGAACGUCCCCUGACGGUAUCUAACCAGAAAGCCACGGCUAACUACGUGCCAGCAGCCGCGGUAAUACGUAGGUGGCAAGCGUUGUCCGGAUUUAUUGGGCGUAAAGCGAGCGCAGGCGGUUUCUUAAGUCUGAUGUGAAAGCCCCCGGCUCAACCGGGGAGGGUCAUUGGAAACUGGGAGACUUGAGUGCAGAAGAGGAGAGUGGAAUUCCAUGUGUAGCGGUGAAAUGCGUAGAUAUAUGGAGGAACACCAGUGGCGAAGGCGGCUCUCUGGUCUGUAACUGACGCUGAGGCUCGAAAGCGUGGGGAGCAAACAGGAUUAGAUACCCUGGUAGUCCACGCCGUAAACGAUGAGUGCUAAGUGUUGGAGGGUUUCCGCCCUUCAGUGCUGCAGCAAACGCAUUAAGCACUCCGCCUGGGGAGUACGACCGCAAGGUUGAAACUCAAAGGAAUUGACGGGGGCCCGCACAAGCGGUGGAG